UGGUACGUACUUGUAUACGUUUAUCAACAAUCACUUGCUCUGCACUCCGCUACUAGCAGCUAGUUGAAAACUCAAAAUACUACUAGUACUGUGCGAGUAUCGGUAGUUGUUUUCCUUUAAUCUCCGGCGUUCGCUAUUCCCAUUUUAUGCACCACUGAAAUCCGUCGGAGCAGGGAAAUAAGCGCCUAUACUUUUCGUCGCAGUUACACCCCCUGAACCGCUGCCUUUUCACCAUUCGACUUCAUGAUCGGGCCACGCGGUCUUUCGCUCGAUAGGGCGGCAAGCAAUUUCGCUGGGGCGUUUGCUUAAAGCUCGUCACGUCCAGAAGUGGCAUUCUGAUUUCACACUUAAAACUAGCUAAUUUAACCGAGGCGCUAUCUGAUGUGCGAGGCCGAUCACCGAUUGGAUCACUCUUGAAUACGUGGAAAUAUAAUUACAGUAUACGGGAUUAUUUAUUGUCAAUCGAAUUCGAUGACUUGCGUAACAAAUACAGAGCAAAAAUUAGAAUUAGGCUGGAUUAACAAGUGUCGGCGUCUCCGAUUUCGGUUCCAUCUUUACCCGCAUAUCUCCACAUCAACCGCUUGGAUAUUUUGUUUCAUGAAUGAAUGAUUUUCGCAUUGCCCCAAUAUCCGCAACCUCCAGGAUACGGAAGUCUUCAGGACUUCUUGAGUUGCGCACCGCACCGCCGAUCUUCUUGUGCUGUUGCUCCAUUUCCGGGACGUUCGAGCCCGACAAUUUUGAUGGCAGCAUUCCAGGUUGUAAUGUCACGGAUUCCUAAUUAACAGGCGGGAGUACUGGUUAAUGAAUCUGUACGAUGGAUCGCUUGCUCGUGUCGAGAUAGCCAGGAACAAACAUCGGUGGAUGUGAACGACGAAACUACAGAAUCAUUUAAUGCUUAAUAACCGCCGAACCGGUAUCGUUUACAAAGAAAACGUUCAUAAUGAACGCAUAUUUUCGCAGACUCACUCAGGCAGUUUUCGGAUACUGUUUCGGCAGGUUGUUUUUUUCUUGAUCUCGUCGGCCUUCAAUGUACGGUAUCUGGGUGGAUUGCGGUC